GGAAUCUCCUUGGAGCUUUAGGACAUACUGGUGGCUGGGUCCCAUGCCUACAGAUGCUGCUUAACUGGUCUGGUGAGUAGGGAUGUUAAAACUGCCAGGGGCUGUAAUGGGCGGCAAAGUUUGAGAACCGUGAUUUAGAGCUGUGGUUCUCAAAGUGUGGUUCCCAGACCAGAAGCAUCAGCAUCACUUAGAAACUGAGAAAUGCAAAGUUUCAGCCCCCACUCAGAUGUGCUGAAUCACAAACCGGGGAUCUGGGAUGAAGCAGGGUGUGGAAACCCAGAGGCCUCCCUGGGGUGAGCACCCUGCAGGCACCUGACAGGUCCUGGCAGAUUUGGAGUUUGGGGGAACGAGGCAACUUGUCUGGUUGGAUGGAGGUGUCUUGUGAACAGACUUCAUGUUAAGACAGGUGAGGUGUCACAUGCCCGCCUUCCCUCCAGCCUGAUGGGGGAGCCAGCACACCUGGGUCUCAGGCGAUGAUUCUGACUCAAACCGUGCUCCAUCCUCUGUGCCACUCAGAGACUCAGUUUCUCACUGCUGCAAACAUGGGUUAUCUCUUCUAUUUUCUCCAAUACUUGUGUUUUCAUCCUAGAAAUGGAGCUGCAUAGAAACUAACACUAGAAACUGACCACCCCCCUGCCUAUUCCUCCAGACCCCUGGACAACGGUUGCUUUCUUUGUGCCUUUUGUUAUAUACUUUUUUCCUCUCGGACAAGGAAACAUCCUGCCUCUGAGCCCAAAUAUAUCCCAUGCUGUUCCCUGGAUAUCUCAGAAUGGGUUUCCUCUUGACCUGUUGAUUCAGGGACCCCAUCUGUUUCUUCUGGCAAAUGGCCCCUCAGUCCAGGUCUCCCCAGACUUCUGUUGGUCUUCCUUCUCCCCUCUCUCCAAUCCUCACAAGGCAAAGACACUUCCACCCUCACCACCUCCAUCUGCGUCCCAGAGCACCCAGGACAGAAUUAAGCCUGAGCUUUACCCAUUUGUUGAAGGUAAAACAGUGAACUCUCUUCACAUACACCCUGAGUCCUUUUCCUGCAUGUGCUGUGUCUGAGUCUAAGAGCUUCACCUUCUCCAGAGCAAAACACAUAGUGGAUUCUUAUCUU
rnacentral:lncRNA from 1 species